rnacentral:rRNA from 1 species
UACGAAGGGGGCUAGCGUUGCUCGGAAUUACUGGGCGUAAAGCGCACGUAGGCGGCUUUCUAAGUCGGGGGUGAAAUCCUGGAGCUCAACUCCAGAACUGCCUUCGAUACUGGAGAGCUCGAGUCCGGGAGAGGUGAGUGGAACUGCGAGUGUAGAGGUGAAAUUCGUAGAUAUUCGCAAGAACACCAGUGGCGAAGGCGGCUCACUGGCCCGGUACUGACGCUGAGGUGCGAAAGCGUGGGGAGCAA